UAAGAAAUGGAAGUACCAGUGUGUACCUAAGUCGGUACAAAUGCUUGUCGCUGGGGCAGUACCCUUUUGAAGUACAAUACUGUACCCAUGAAUGCAGGUACAUUUGUGUACCCUAGCCAUCUGUACCCAUCAAGGUACACUUGUGUACCUGCAAUGACUAAAAUGUACCUGUAUAUAUCAUUAUCACAUAGUACCCUUAAAAGGUACUAUUCUGUACUUUAAGGGUACAACCCCAGUGAAAAUUUAAGGUGGUAUAACUAAAAUAUAUGCACAACCAAUAAGUACAUUUAAAUGUUUAUUCUGGGGGGAUAUUACACACAAUACUUCACAUGAAUACAGGUACAAUAAAUGUUAACAUGUUCAUAUUAAAAACACAUUCAUAUCAAAACAUCAAAGUAUCUUAUAUCCAUAUCAAUAUACAUAUUCACGUAAAACAUGUUAUGACUCAAUGUUAUGACUCAAUGUAAGUGUAAAUAAUAAAACACUUUGGUUUACAAUAUUUUGCCUGAGUAGCCACAUUGUGUUUAUACGCAGAAGGAAAAAAAUAUAUUAAUUUGCACGAUAGCACUAAUAACACCUUUAUAUGAUCUAUAAAAUACCAAUAUUUGAGUUAGUAAUUACUCCAACAAACCUUGUAUGCUUUCAAGUUCAUGUUAAUACUCGUGUAUGAGUGAUGAAAAUAUAGUAUCUGCUUGCCAUAACCAUUACACGUUGCAAAAUUAACAAAGUCCUUGCAGUAACUUAGUAGCUAUGAUCUUAGAUCUCAUUCACAGUGCAUACACCAUAGAAUUGAGUGAACGAUAUGUGUGAUGUAAUGAAACACAAUGUGCAAGCCUUUGGGAAAUAUUAGCAAGCCUGUAAAAAUGUACAAUAUAUUGUUACAAUAUUCAUUACCUCACC